UCGGGGAAAGAAUUUCGACAAAGGGAUGAGACUAUAUCGUAUCAGCUAGUCGAUGGGGUAACGGCCUACCGAGGCUAUGACGCGUAAACUGGUCUGAGAGGAUGAUCAGUCACAUUGGAACUGAGACACGGUCCAAACUCCUACGGGAGGCAGCAGUAGGGAAUAUUGCGCAAUGGGGGAAACCCUGACGCAGCAACGCCGCGUGGAGGAUGACACUUUUCGGAGCGUAAACUCCUUUUGUUAGGGAAGAAUAAUGACGGUACCUAACGAAUAAGCACCGGCUAACUCCGUGCCAGCAGCCGCGGUAAUACGGAGGGUGCAAGCGUUACUCGGAAUCACUGGGCGUAAAGGACGCGUAGGCGGAUUAUCAAGUCUCUUGUGAAAUCUAACGGCUUAACCGUUAAACUGCUUGGGAAACUGAUAAUCUAGAGUAAGGGAGAGGCAGAUGGAAUUCUUGGUGUAGGGGUAAAAUCCGUAGAUAUCAAGAAGAAUACCUAUUGCGAAGGCGAUCUGCUGGAACUUAACUGACGCUAAUGCGUGAAAGCGUGGGGAGCAAACAGG
rnacentral:rRNA from 1 species